rnacentral:lncRNA from 1 species
UUUUCCUAGAAAAGAGGAACAACAAGGGUGAUGCAGUUUGAUGGUGGUGUUAUUGGGUUGCAAUUAGAGGACCUGUGGCAAACACCCACAAGUAGUGAUGGGUGACUAGAAGAAGAAAAAAAGAGGAAGUCCAUCCAAAAUAGGUGACUGAAGGGUUUGGCAUCAAGUCAAGCCUCAGCUCACUUGUUGGCAGCUGAACUACAUCGUCUGGCCAUGGAAGGCGUCAAGGAAGGCUUGGCAAGAGAUGGAUUGUGGUUUUCAACUAUAAGGUAGGAGAUGAGGUUGGGUAAUCACAGAACAAGGGGUAAUAGGGGAUUCAUGCAAACUAGG